rnacentral:rRNA from 1 species
GUCGAGCGAGAACCGUAGCAAUACGGGGACAGCGGCGAAAGGGACAGUAAUGUGUAGGUACCUACCCCCGGGUUCGAGAUAGCUGCGGGAAACUGCAGGUAAUACCGAAUAAUGUCUCCGGACCAAAGGUGUGAUUCCACCUGGGGAGGGGCCUGCAUCCUAUUAGCUUGUUGGUGGGGUAACGGCCUACCAAGGCAACGAUGGGUAGCGGGUGUGAGAGCAUGACCCGCGUCAUUGGGACUGAGACACUGCCCAGACACCUACGGGUGGCUGCAGUCGAGAAUCUUCGGCAAUGGGCGAAAGCCUGACCGAGCGACGCCGCGUGCGGGAUGAAGGCCCUCGGGUUGUAAACCGCUGUCGUAGAGGAGGAAAUGCAGGGGGGUUCUCCCCUUUGCUUGACCUAUUCUAGGAGGAAGUACGGGCUAAGUUCGUGCCAGCAGCCGCGGUAAGACGAACCGUACAAACGUUACUCGGAAUUACUGGGCUUAAAGGGUGCGUAGGCUGCGCGGAAAGUUGGGUGUGAAAGCCCUCGGCUCAACCGAGGAAUUGCAUUCAAAACUACCGUGCUCGAGGGAGACAGAGGUAAGCGGAACUCAAGGUGGAGCGGUGAAAUGCGUUGAUAUCUUGAGGAACACCGGUGGCGAAGGCGGCUUACUGGGUCUCUUCUGACGCUGAGGCACGAAAGCUAAGGUAGCAAACGGGAUUAGAUACCCCGGUAGUCUUAGCUGUAAACGAUGAGCACUUGAUUGGAGGGUCCUCCAUAGCCUUCCAGUCGUAGCGAAAGUGUUAAGUGCUCCGCCUGGGGAGUAUGGUCGCAAGGC